AAGUUCGUCUCAGAAGAAUCAAAAUCAGAUCCUCGUGUUCCUCAGGUCUGGAUCCUAGAACAUCUCACUGACAGAACAGAACAGAACCUUCAGAACCUUUAGAACCUUCAGAUCGUUUCCUGUCUGUGGUCUCCAGGAUUUCAGACGAAUCGUUCGAGGAGACAGAGACUUUAUGACCAAAGUGACUCCGCCCCUCCAGCUCACCUGUGUGCACCUGGACAGGAGCUGACCAAUCACACGACAGAGAGGAGAGGAGCUGACCAAUCACACGACAGAGAGGAGAGGAGCUGACCAAUCACACGACAGAGAGGAGAGGAACUGACCAAUCACAGGAGAGACUGAAUAAAAGUCCAAAAUUCAGAGACGUUGUGUAAAUUUGUUCAUUAAAGACACAAUAUUAUUAUAAA